UGGAAGUUUCUGGAGGCUUCCGGGAGUUCCUGAAGUCCUUAGGCGGCCUUUCUAAUGGGUGAGGCUGCAUCCCCGCCCAGUUAGUUGCCUGACCUGAGGUGUCGCAGCACGAGCGCGUCCAGGCUGUCAGGUGCGGCCGGGCGCUGGCGGAGGCCGGCAGCAAUGCCCUGCGGUAGGAGGAGGCCCCAAGUAUGGCCGCCGCCAGUGUCUGUGGCCCUGGGCUGAGCCGCGGUCCCCCGCCUCUCCGGGAGACCCUCCAAGACCAGAGGUUAGCUUUGGAAAGACUCACCAGCUCAGGACACACCCACCCCUAGGAGACAGGGCCGCCGGUGAAGGGAGAUGCAGUCCCAGUGACUCUCGGAAGCAGAAAAGCUCAGAGCUUAAGGAGAUUUGGUCCAGGUGAUGCUGCCACACAUCUUCUUUUCUCCACACCAGAGCAUUCUAGCAGAUCCAGUUUGCUCCUGCAAAUGAUGGUCAUUGUAAGUGGUGGAGAUCUGAGGUCCGGGGCCGAAACAACAUGCUUCAGCCAACUGACAGCCUUGAGUCCUGCAGCAGGUUCCAGAUCCUAGAGAAAAGGGCUCAAAACGCCGACAAAGCCCUCCCACCAUGCCCCAGGCCCCUCCUCCAGCAAGGCUUCUUCCCGCAGGAUCGCAUCUCUAUGAAGGUGGUGCUGCCACUGACUUGGAACCUUGGAGAAAUCACUUUCCACCCCCGGGCCUCAUCACAGCGUGGGACUCACCCUGCU